GACCAAUGGAGGCAACUCUGAUCCAGCCAUGCCGCGUGCAGGAAGAAUGCCUUAUGGGUUGUAAACUGCUUUUAUUUAGGAAGAAUCCCCAGUACGUGUACUGGGUUGACGGUACUAUUUGAAUAAGGACCGGCUAACUCCGUGCCAGCAGCCGCGGUAAUACGGAGGGUCCAAGCGUUAUCCGGAAUCAUUGGGUUUAAAGGGUCCGCAGGCGGGAUGAUAAGUCAGUGGUGAAAUUUCUUAGCUUAACUAAGACAUUGCCAUUGAAACUAUUGUUCUUGAAUUCGGUCGAAGUGGGCGGAAUAUGUCAUGUAGCGGUGAAAUGCAUAGAUAUGACGUGGAACUCCGAUAGCGAAGGCAGCUCACUAGGCCUGAAUUGACGCUCAGGGACGAAAGCGUGGGUAGCAAACAGGAUUAGAUACCCUGGUAGUCCACGCUGUAAACGAUGAUUACUCGAUAUCAGCGAUAUAUUGUUGGUGUCCAAGCGAAAGUGAUAAGUAAUCCACCUGG
rnacentral:rRNA from 1 species